rnacentral:sRNA from 11 species
GAAUUCCAGGAUCGCCCCCCGUCCAGCGAGGUUUCGCUCACGGGGGUAUUGGUG